AUUGAACGCUGGCGGCAGGCCUAACACAUGCAAGUCGAACGAGUGGCGGACGGGUGAGUAAUGUCUGGGAAACUGCCCGAUGGAGGGGGAUCACUACUGGAAACGGUAGUUAAUACCGCCUACCAUCGGAUGUGCCCAGCUGGGAUUAGCUGGUAGGUGGGGUAAAGGCUCACCUAGGCGACGAUCCCUAGCUGGUCUGAGAGGUGGACCAGCCACACUGGAACUGGGACACGGUCCAAACUCCUACGGGAGGCAGCAGGGGGGAAUAUUGCACAAGGGGCGCAAGCCUGAUGCAGCCAGGCCGCGUGUAUGAAGAAGGCCUUCGGGUGGUAAAGUACUUUCAGCGGGGAGGCGUUACCCGCAGAAGAAGCACCGGCUAACUCCGUGCCAGCAGCCGCGGUAAUAC
rnacentral:rRNA from 1 species